AUCUGCCCAAUGUAAAUUUAAAUGGCUGCAGUAUAAAUAACUGUACUAAGGUAGCAUAAUAAUUUGUUUUUUAAUUAAAAACUAGAAUAAAAGAUUUUAUGAAAUAUAUACUUUAUUAUUUUUAAGUAUUAAAAUUAUUAUUUAAGUAAAAAAACUUAAAUAAAAUUAAAAGACAAUAAGACCCUAUAAAAUUUUAUUUUAAUUAAAAUAAUUUUUUUAAUUAAAAUUUAAUUGGGGUAAUUAAAAAAUUAAAUAAACUUUUUUAUAUAAAACAUUAAUUAAUGAAAAUUAUUUUUUAAAUUUUAAAUAUUAAAAUUAAUUACUUUAGGGAUAACAGCAUAA
rnacentral:rRNA from 1 species